CAACCAUCCAUUAUUUGCUGCCCAUGUAGGUCAUAUUACCUUUAUUGACAAGUUCAGUUAUUAUUACUAGCCACAAGUAUUUGUUAGUUGAGCAAAUUAUUUUGGCCGACAUACCUUAUCACUUCUAAAGCACUCAACCAUGUGUCUUCUACUUGUUACCUCUGAAACAUUUUCAAGAAUGUAUAAAAGUUUGUCAUAAUUUCCAGUAAUUUAUAAUAUAUUCAGUCUUAUGAGCCUGACUCAACUUCAAUUUCCAGAAGAUCGAAUCAUAAUCAGGUUUUAUUUUAUGUUACAGAACAAUAUUAAAAAUCUUUUGGCGUUACAUCAGUUAUUUUAUCUUUUGGAUUUCAUUUUAUGAGUGAAAUAUCUAUGUGAUGUGCCCACACGUUAGAAUAAGCAUAAUAUAAAGUGAGUAAAUUAUGCCCUGAGGAAGAGCAUCUAAUGAGUGCGGCAUCUCCCACCGAGAGGCCUCCAGUCUACUUAUUCUAUUCUCUUCUGUGCCACCAUUGAUAGCUCCAGUUGAUUGCAAAUUUGUAACUCCACUACUAUAUAUACAUGUCUUUUGAUGCAAUUAUCGGUCGAGGCCAUCGAUUUCUCAUCUCUUGAAUUACUUGAGUGCAGAAAUACAAAUCAUGGCAUCAGUCAAAGCUGAGAAACCUGUUGGCACUCAACCUGUUAAGGCCGGCACUAGCACUCCCAAGGCUCCCGCCUCCAAGCCUGCCCCUAAAAAGGCCGAGCAAAAACCCCGGGAGCCGAAGAAGAAGGCAUCAGGAGGGAAGGCAGGAGCUAAGAAUUAAUAACGUUGAGGAGGACAAGAGCCUUGGUGAAUAUGUGAAGAUCUCAUGAAGCUCAAACUUUUGUUUGUUGUUCUUCGUUAGCCUUGUUUUAUAUUAUGAAAGCUCUUGCUUCCAAAUUAUAUCUAUGUAUCUCUUCAAAGGCUUUGCCUAAUAAAUAAAGGCUUAAUAGUUCCUAAA